rnacentral:misc_RNA from 1 species
GAUGAAGAACGCAGCGAAAUGCGAUAAGUAAUGUGAAUUGCAGAAUUCAGUGAAUCAUUGAAUCUUUGAACGCACCUUGCGCCCUUUGGCUAUUCCGAAGGGCAUGCCUGUUUGAGUAUCAUGAACACCUCAACUCUCAUGGCUUGCCAUGAUGAGCUUGGACUUUUGGGGGUCUUGCUGGCCUGUGGUCAGCUCCUCUCAAAUGAAUUAGCCUGCCAGUGUUUGGUGGCAUCACAGGUGUGAUAACUAUCUACGCUUGUGGUUUUCCACCAGGUAACCUUCAGUGAUGAAGGUUCGCUGGGGCUCAUAAACGUCUCUCCUCAGUGAGGACAGCUCUUUGAACGUUUGAUCUCAAAUCAGGUAGGACUACCCGCUGAACUUAAGCAUAUCAAUAAGCGGAGGA